CUUCUGGUCGUACGUCGUCGUCACUUUUGGAAAAAAGCCCCUCUAUUUUCAAGAAUUCAACCCGCAGUCCCUUUUUAAGUUGCUAUCUCAGAAAACGUUUCGUUAUUACAAAAAGAACCCUGCCGUUUUGAGAAUUCAACCCGCGGUCCCCCUGGAAAGAAAAAAAAACCUAGCCACACGAACGACCCAUGAACCCCAAUCUCAUCCACCUCCAGCGCCGCCACGCCCUGCAACGCCGCCGCGCGCCGCCGAACUCCGCCCCGUCGUCGCCCCGCCGGAAUCCGCCGGAACUCGACCCGCCGUCGCGCCGCCGCUCAAGCCCAGCUUCUGGAUCGGGUCAACGCGGUGGCUCGAGCGGCUGGGGGCGGCGCGGUGGCUCGAGCGAACCAGACCGCUCUGCCUCCCGCAGCUCCAUCCUGCCCGAGCUCCCCUCGCCCCCGCAAGCCGCCUCGCCGGCGACCCCACACCUCCGCCGCGCCUCACCGCCGGAGCUCCGGCCGCUCCGCCGCCUCGCCCCUCUCCUCCUUCCUCUCGAUCUCCUCUCACCUCUUUCUCUCUUUCUCGCUGAACAGGGACCUCCAGAAGGGCCAUGGCGCCACCAGCCCUUAAUCUCGCCGGAUCCGGCCGCCUGCACGCCAAAUCCGCCGGAAAUGGAUCCGUCCCGUCCAGAUCCGGCCGGAUCCGACCGGGCCCCGCCAUCCUCGUCACUGGAGCACCGCCCCGCUCGACCAACAGCGUCGGCGCUGUCUGUCCCUGCCCGCGUCUGCACGAGGACGACGCUCGUCCCGCUCGCUUGCAGCAAUCGCAUGGGCCGCCGCCCCAGCCGUCCCGGCAUCAAGCCAAGGCCCAGCCCAAGCCACAUCUUCUGCCGCUCCAUCAUUGCCCACCUUGAGAUCAGCCCCGACGCCACCACCAUCUUCAGAUGCGUACGCACACUACUUCCUUCUUCAAAUUGCUUCACCACAUCAUGCUGAAUUUGCAAAUGGCCGCUCCUUACAUGUGUGAUCGAGAAGCAAGGUCAAGUAUGAGCAGGCUGUCAGCGUGUAGUGGUCGGAGAUGCCGUCGCAACUUACAUGUCGCAGUCGUCGGCUCCAUGCUAAGAUUACGAGGCUCUAUGGUUGUAUCGUGGUGUUCCAGUAGUAAACUUUCAGGCUGGUUAGAUAGGGGAUGAAGAUGAUGUAUACUACCUAACGGCCAUCGAGUAAUAAAAGGAGAUGGAUUGAACUACAUGAUUUAUGCCAUGGGAAUGAUGAAAAAUCUUUGAGUGAGGAUGUUGAAUAAUUCAGUCCUGAUCAAUGGCUUCUCAUAAAAGUCUUCCUGCCAGCAAGAGAGCCCUUGCAGAUUUACAGCUUUUAGUGUAAUUAUUACAGAGAAGACAUGCUUAGAGGGCCUAUAAUUUUACUAAGUGAACAUGUACUGAUCUCUACAUGCUUUUUAUUAGAGUAUCGCUUUCAUGUUUUACUAAGAUCUGUGCGGAAACAACAUGAGCCUUUGCUGCUUGGUCUGGGAUGGUGAAGUGGUGGUUGCAGUGGAAAUCGUUAAAGGGGGCACCGGUGUCCUCAGUUAUACGGUUACAGAAUAUAUGGAGUCAUGCCCAACGUUGCAAGGGAGCCUGUAGUGGGAGGCGACAAAGUAUUGGCUGUUACCAUAGUAUCCAUAAUGAGUUGUGUCAACACCAACCUCAGAGCUGGAAUAAGGAGUGCGCAUUCGCAUUGAUGAAACAACUUUCCCAUAGCCCGCUGCUACUGCCCACUACCACAAUCUUGCAUAGAUACUUGUGAGUACGUGAGAACAUCUGUAGGCUAAUAAACAGUACAAACACCAGGCUUAGUUUCGGAGUACAUAUAUUGCAUCGACUGGUAUGAUGUCUGAAUAUAUAUCUGACUAGAGCCAUCAUAUGGACAAAUAAUCUUUGUAGCAGUCUGUUGGAUAAUUAUUGGAGAUGAUGCACUCUGAUGGACAGAUAUAGAAACCCAUUGUUAUUUUCAGGGAAAUUUGUGGUGAUUCGUAAUCAAACUUGCAAAGAACAUCCUUCUGAUUAUGUUUGAAGAGGUACGAUGGAUGGUUGAGCUGAGACCACUGUUUGAUAUUUGUUUGCCUUUGCUUUGUAACCAGUGAGGGCUGAAGUGAAUGAAUCUGGAAGUGCUUUAGUGAUUAAUGCUCUGUCCCAAGUUAAGCAUAUUCUACUUCCGGUCACUGGCCGCAAGCCUUACCUUUCAGUUCUAAUUCCUUGAGAUCACCACAGUUGUGAAUAUAGCCAUUGUUUCAACAGAACAAACCUAAGCUUAGCAUGAAAGAGAGUAUGAAAGUUCUGAUCUCUUCAAAAUAUGUGAGGGGCCUUGCUACCUUAGUUGUUGCAUAUGGCAUUAUAAUCAAUUUUGUGUAAGUCACAUGGAAAUCGAAGCUCAAGGCACAGUUCCCCAGUCCAAACGAGCACUCAUCUUUCAUGGGUGAUUUCUCUACCGCAACUGGACUUGCAACUUUCAUGAUGAUGCUGUUAGGCUGGAUUACAUUCCAAAGAUUUGGUUGGGGGGUGGCUUCCAUUAUCACCCCCAUAGUUUUGUGGUGACUGGCGUUGGUUUCUUUUCUGACUUUCAACAAGUGCAGUUCAUUGCCGCAGAGCAGUCUUAGAAGAUCCGUGCACAUGUAGCCUUAUUUCUUAUUCCAAAUUUCAUCAUACAAAAAAAAUACUCAGUGUAACCUCAUUUCUGAUGUUUGCGAAAAUUAGAUUAUAAAAAUGUUGCAUAAUG